rnacentral:rRNA from 4 species
UUUUUGAUUAAUAAUUUAAAGUCUAAUCUGCCCACUGAUAAUAUAUUAAAGGGCUGCAGUAUUUUGACUGUACAAAGGUAGCAUAAUCAUUAGUCUCUUAAUUGGUGACUUGUAUGAAGGAUUUGAUGAAAUAUAUACUGUCUCUUUUUGAUUUAUAAAAUUUAAUUUUUUAGUUAAAAAGCUAAAAUUUAUUUAAAAGACGAGAAGACCCUAUAGAGUUUUAUAUUUAUAUAAAUUAAAAUUUUUUAUAAGAUUUAAAAUUUCAAUUUAUAUAAAUAUUUUAUUGGGGUGAUAGAAAAAUUAAAAUAACUUUUUUUAUAAUUUUACAUUAAUAAAUGAAUAAAUGAUCCGUAAUUUACGAUUAUAAGAUAAAAUUACCUUAGGGAUAACAGCGUAAUUUUUUUUUUUAGUUCAAAUAAGAAAAAAAGUUUGCGACCUCGAUGUUGGAUUAAGAUAAAAUUUAAAUGCAAAAGUUUAAAAUUUUUGAUCUGUUCGAUCAUUAAAAUCUUACA